GGGAUGUAGCUUAGCUGGGAAAGCGUUGGCUUCGCAAGUCAAAGACCGCGGGUUCGAAUCCCGUCAUCUCC
rnacentral:tRNA from 1 species